rnacentral:lncRNA from 1 species
UGAAUAACCAAACAAAUCAAAGGUUUAAAAUCACUGAGUUUCGAGUUUCGACUUUUGAUCUAUUAUUUAAUAUGUAGAAAAGGUAUACUUCUAUUGUCAAAUUGAUUACUGAGUGUAGAGCAGUGUUCAAAAGUACUGCAAAAGUCGGCGAUCACUCUCUGACCCUCUCUCAAGAGUGUGUGGUGAAGAAACACUGCCCGUCAAAUAGUCGACUUGGAGGGCAUUGAAGAGAUUGCAAGUUAGAGAUUCUCGAGAGAGGAAUUAUAUCGGCGUCUAAGAAGACAUUACGUCAGCAAUCUGGAAUCACUAACAGAUGAGACACAAAAGCGAAUGUCAUAAGCUGCCUUCCCCUUCAUUGUAGAAGCAUUAUUACCUUGGGGAUUUUGUCUGUUGUGAUGUGUGUGUGAUGCUGCUGUGGUGGCUUUUUGGUGAAGACGAGAUCACGAGAUACAAAUUUGGAGGGGAAAAUAUUACGGAAAGCUGCUGGAUCCCCACUAUUUCGUGCCAGCUUGUGAAAGGCGUGAGGAAUUCCCGAAUUCAAAUUUAGCUGCUGCGUGCUGUCUGCAAGCAAGCAAUCCAAUUGGCUGUCGCUAGGUGGCGCGAGUGUCUUCAGGGGACCAAAUUCGGCCAUUUUGUUCCUUGACGCAGCAGAAGUGGGAUGCUGGUCGUGACGUUUCCCAUGAUGAAAAUGUGAUUUCAAUACCACUUUGUCAAAUCAUGUAACUCGGACUUGAGUGCCUGUCCAUUUUGCCGAAAUGUCGUGCCUCGUGUGUCUUGCUGCCUGCACCCAGUCGUACGUCUCGUCCCAUGACAAAGCAAAAGUCCGCUGUUGGUUACCUUGUUGCAGCCAGGUGGUGAAAGAUGUGAUGGAGACUAAUUGAACUGUUGUAUGCAGCGUGUGGUUCCAGUGUUAUCCUGAAGCAGCCUGAAUUUGCCAGUGAUAUCCGGGUUGCUGCCUUAAAGUUAAACAUUUUUCUCUCUUUGCAUUUGUGUAUUUUGCUCUGCCAAUGCUAUCCUGUGUUUGAAAUCUUU